rnacentral:rRNA from 1 species
GGGUUGUGAGGUUAAGCGACUAAGCGUACACGGUGGAUGCCCGGCAGUCAGAGGCGAUGAAGGGCGUGCUAAUCUGCGAUAAGCGCCGGUAAGGUGAUAUGAACCGUUAUAACCGGCGAUACCCGAAUGGGGAAACCCAGUGUGAUUCGUCACACUAUCAUUAACUGAAUCCAUAGGUUAAUGAGGCGAACCGGGGAACUGAAACAUCUAAGUACCCCGAGGAAAAGAAAUCAACCGAGAUUCCCCAGUAGCGGCGAGCGAACGGGGAGGAGCCCAGAGCCUGAAUCAGCAUGUGUGUUAGUGGAAGCGUCUGGAAAGGCGCGCGAUACAGGGUGACAGCCCCGUACACAAAAGCGCAUGUGCUGUGAGCUCGAUGAGUAGGGCGGGACACGUGGUAUCCUGUCUGAAUAUGGGGGGACCAUCCUCCAAGGCUAAAUACUCCUGACUGACCGAUAGUGAACCAGUACCGUGAGGGAAAGGCGAAAAGAACCCCGGCGAGGGGAGUGAAAAAGAACCUGAAACCGUGUACGUACAAGCAGUGGGAGCACCCUUCGGGGUGUGACUGCGUACCUUUUGUAUAAUGGGUCAGCGACUUAUAUUCUGUAGCAAGGUUAACCGUAUAGGGGAGCCGCAGGGAAACCGAGUCUUAAUUGGGCGUUAAGUUGCAGGGUAUAGACCCGAAACCCGGUGAUCUAGCCAUGGGCAGGUUGAAGGUUGGGUAACACUAACUGGAGGACCGAACCGACUAAUGUUGAAAAAUUAGCGGAUGACCUGUGGCUGGGGGUGAAAGGCCAAUCAAACCGGGAGAUAGCUGGUUCUCCCCGAAAGCUAUUUAGGUAGCGCCUCGUGAAUUCAUCUCCGGGGGUAGAGCACUGUUUCGGCUAGGGGGCCAUCCCGGCUUACCAACCCGAUGCAAACUGCGAAUACCGGAGAAUGUUAUCACGGGAGACACACGGCGGGUGCUAACGUCCGUCGUGAAGAGGGAAACAACCCAGACCGCCAGCUAAGGUCCCAAAGUCAUGGUUAAGUGGGAAACGAUGUGGGAAGGCCCAGACAGCCGGAUGUUGGCUUAGAAGCAGCCAUCAUUUAAAGAAAGCGUAAUAGCUCACUGGUCGAGUCGGCCUGCGCGGAAGAUGUAACGGGGCUAAACCAUGCACCGAAGCUGCGGCAGCGACACUGUGUGUUGUUGGGUAGGGGAGCGUUCUGUAAGCCUGCGAAGGUGGCCUGUGAGGGUUGCUGGAGGUAUCAGAAGUGCGAAUGCUGACAUAAGUAACGAUAAAGCGGGUGAAAAGCCCGCUCGCCGGAAGACCAAGGGUUCCUGUCCAACGUUAAUCGGGGCAGGGUGAGUCGACCCCUAAGGCGAGGCCGAAAGGCGUAGUCGAUGGGAAACGGGUUAAUAUUCCCGUACUUGGUGUUACUGCGAAGGGGGACGGAGAAGGCUAUGUUGGCCGGGCGACGGUUGUCCCGGUUUAAGCGUGUAGGUGUGUGUUCCAGGUAAAUCCGGUUCACUUUAACACUGAGGCGUGACGACGAGGCACUACGGUGCUGAAGCAACAAAUGCCCUGCUUCCAGGAAAAGCCUCUAAGCAUCAGGUAACAUCAAAUCGUACCCCAAACCGACACAGGUGGUCAGGUAGAGAAUACCAAGGCGCUUGAGAGAACUCGGGUGAAGGAACUAGGCAAAAUGGUGCCGUAACUUCGGGAGAAGGCACGCUGACACGUAGGUGAAGUGAUUUACUCAUGGAGCUGAAGUCAGUCGAAGAUACCAGCUGGCUGCAACUGUUUAUUAAAAACACAGCACUGUGCAAACACGAAAGUGGACGUAUACGGUGUGACGCCUGCCCGGUGCCGGAAGGUUAAUUGAUGGGGUCAGCGCAAGCGAAGCUCCUGAUCGAAGCCCCGGUAAACGGCGGCCGUAACUAUAACGGUCCUAAGGUAGCGAAAUUCCUUGUCGGGUAAGUUCCGACCUGCACGAAUGGCGUAAUGAUGGCGGCUGUCUCCACCCGAGACUCAGUGAAAUUGAACUCGCUGUGAAGAUGCAGUGUACCCGCGGCAAGACGGAAAGACCCCGUGAACCUUUACUAUAGCUUGACACUGAACAUUGAGCCUUGAUGUGUAGGAUAGGUGGGAGGCUUUGAAGCGUGGACGCCAGUCUGCGUGGAGCCGACCUUGAAAUACCACCCUUUAAUGUUUGAUGUUCUAACGUGGACCCGUGAUCCGGGUUGCGGACAGUGUCUGGUGGGUAGUUUGACUGGGGCGGUCUCCUCCUAAAGAGUAACGGAGGAGCACGAAGGUUGGCUAAUCCUGGUCGGACAUCAGGAGGUUAGUGCAAUGGCAUAAGCCAGCUUGACUGCGAGCGUGACGGCGCGAGCAGGUGCGAAAGCAGGUCAUAGUGAUCCGGUGGUUCUGAAUGGAAGGGCCAUCGCUCAACGGAUAAAAGGUACUCCGGGGAUAACAGGCUGAUACCGCCCAAGAGUUCAUAUCGACGGCGGUGUUUGGCACCUCGAUGUCGGCUCAUCACAUCCUGGGCUGAAGUAGGUCCCAAGGGUAUGGCUGUUCGCCAUUUAAAGUGGUACGCGAGCUGGGUUUAGAACGUCGUGAGACAGUUCGGUCCCUAUCUGCCGUGGGCGCUGGAGAACUGAGGGGGCUGCUCCUAGUACGAGAGGACCGGAGUGGACGCAUCACUGGUGUUCGGGUUGUCAUGCCAAUGGCACUGCCCGGUAGCUAAAUGCGGAAGAGAUAAGUGCUGAAAGCAUCUAAGCACGAAACUUGCCCCGAGAUGAGUUCUCCCUGAGACUUAAAGUCUCCUGAAGGAACGUUGAAGACGACGACGUUGAUAGGCCGGGUGUGUAAGCGCAGCGAUGCGUUGAGCUAACCGGUACUAAUGAACCGUGAGGCUUAACCUUACAACGCCGAAG